GCUGGGCACAGUGGUGCAUGCCUGUCAUCUCAGCAGCUUGGGAGGCUGAGACAGGAGGAUUGUGAGUUCAAAGCCAGCCUCAGCAAAGCAAAGCCCAAAGCAACUCAAUGAGACCCAGUCUCUA
rnacentral:sRNA from 1 species